UUCCUCACCAAAGUUUUGACAGUGACUCCAGAGACUGGGAUAACUUUGUGACUUUCAUUUCCUCUUAAAUGUUGUGCCAGGCUCUGACCGGCAGACCCAGGCUGCACGAUGGAUGAAUAACGUACUCAGACACCGAUAUUCAGUGAAAGAGUGCACCAGAGGGCCAGGCCACUCACAGAAAGGGUUGUGGCAGCUGCGUGCCCUGACUAUCUGGCCCUGUGGGCCUUUAUUCAGCACAGAUUUAAUGACAAAGGCUUUGAGUCAACACACCUGUGGAUAAUUAAUCUGGUCGCAGUCCCCCGGAGAGAGCAGUCCUACAAAUGAUCAAAGCAAAGAGAUUCACAGUGUGAGCGAGAUUCAACGUGAGGGGCUUCCUCCACUGUGAGCUUUGAAAAUGGAGGGGCCAUGUGGCAAAGGAUAUGGCGGGCUCCAGGAAUUGAGAACAGCUCCACCCCACCUCCACCUGACAGCUGCCCAGGAACAAGGACUACAAUCCCACAACUGCCUGAAACUGAAUUCUGCCACCAAGCUCUGUAUAAGCUUGAAGGAGGACCCCAGCCUCAAGAUGAGGACACAGCUUCGUGAAAUCCUGAACUGAGAAUCAUUCACACCAGGCCUGGAU
rnacentral:lncRNA from 1 species